rnacentral:rRNA from 1 species
CUGAGUCGAGUUGUUUGGGAUUGCAGCUCCAAUUGUACGGUGGUAAAUUCCAUCUCAAGCUAAAUAUUGGCGGGGGACCGAUAGCGUACAAGUACCGUGAGGGAAAGAUGCAAAGAACUUUGAAAAGAGAGUGAAAGAGUACCUGAAAUUGCUGAAAAGGAAGCGAACGAAGCUAGUGAAAGCUGCGUCAUACUUUCCGACUUGCUUGCAAUUUGGACGCUGUGACCAGCCCAGUUGGGCUUGAUUGCAACAGGUGAAAGCAGGUAAAGAAAAGAUUCCAUUUUCUCUCGCCCUUGAUGCACCUAUUGCAUUUGAGCUGAACAAAAUAGCUUUGUUUGCCCCGUCU